rnacentral:sRNA from 1 species
UGUUCAACAAGAACUGCACACACGAAC